UACAGAGGGUGCAAGCGUUAAUCGGAAUUACUGGGCGUAAAGCGCACGUAGGCGGCUUGGCAAGUUGGAUGUGAAAUCCCCGGGCUCAACCUGGGAAUUGCAUUCAAAACUGCCUUGCUCGAGUUUGGUAGAGGGAAGCGGAAUUCCAGGUGUAGCGGUGAAAUGCGUAGAUAUCUGGAGGAACAUCAGUGGCGAAGGCGGCAUCCUGGACCAACACUGACACUGAGGAGCGAAAGCCAGGGGAGCAAACGGG
rnacentral:rRNA from 1 species